UACGGGGGGGGCAAGCGUUGUUCGGAAUUACUGGGCGUAAAGGGCUCGUAGGUGGCCAACUAAGUCAGACGUGAAAUCCCUCGGCUUAACCGGGGAACUGCGUCUGAUACUGGAUGGCUUGAGUUUGGGAGAGGGAUGCGGAAUUCCAGGUAUAGCGGUGAAAUGCGUAGAUAUCUGGAGGAACACCGGUGGCGAAGGCGGCAUCCUGGACCAACACUGACACUGAGGAGCGAAAGCCAGGGGAGCAAACGGG
rnacentral:rRNA from 1 species